rnacentral:rRNA from 1 species
GGGUGAGUAACACGUGAGUAACCUGCCCCAGGCUUUGGGAUAACCCCGGGAAACCGGGGCUAAUACCGGAUAUGACCAUCUGUCGCAUGGUGGGUGGUGGAAAGAUUUUUUGGCUUGGGAUGGGCUCGCGGCCUAUCAGCUUGUUGGUGGGGUGAUGGCCUACCAAGGCGGCGACGGGUAGCCGGCCUGAGAGGGCGACCGGCCACACUGGGACUGAGACACGGCCCAGACUCCUACGGGAGGCAGCAGUGGGGAAUCUUGCACAAUGGGCGGAAGCCUGAUGCAGCGACGCCGCGUGAGGGAUGACGGCCUUCGGGUUGUAAACCUCUUUCAGCAGGGACGAAGCGUUUGUGACGGUACCUGCAGAAGAAGCGCCGGCCAACUACGUGCCAGCAGCCGCGGUAAGACGUAGGGCGCAAGCGUUGUCCGGAUUUAUUGGGCGUAAAGAGCUCGUAGGCGGCUUGUCGCGUCGACUGUGAAAACCUGUGGCUCAACUGCGGGCUUGCAGUCGAUACGGGCAGGCUAGAGUUCGGUAGGGGAGACUGGAAUUCCUGGUGUAGCGGUGAAAUGCGCAGAUAUCAGGAGGAACACCGGUGGCGAAGGCGGGUCUCUGGGCCGAUACUGACGCUGAGGAGC